ACAGGGAUUGCCCUAGUAACGGCGAGUGAAGCGGCAACAGCUCAAAUUUGAAAUCUGGCGUCUUUGGCGUCCGAGUUGUAAUUUGCAGAGGGCGCUUUGGCAUUGGCAGCGGUCCAAGUUCCUUGGAACAGGACGUCACAGAGGGUGAGAAUCCCGUACGUGGUCGCUAGCCUUUACCGUGUAAAGCCCCUUCGACGAGUCGAGUUGUUUGGGAAUGCAGCUCUAAAUGGGAGGUAAAUUUCUUCUAAAGCUAAAUACUGGCCAGAGACCGAUAGCGCACAAGUAGAGUGAUCGAAAGAUGAAAAGCACUUUGGAAAGAGAGUUAAAAAGCACGUGAAAUUGUUGAAAGGGAAGCGCUUGCAGCCAGACUUGCCUGUAGUUGCUCAUCCGGGUUUUUACCCGGUGCACUCUUCUAUAGGCAGGCCAGCAUCAGUUUGGGCGGUUGGAUAAAGGUCUCUGUCAUGUACCUCUCUUCGGGGAGAACUUAUAGGGGAGACGACAUGCAACCAGCCUGGACUGAGGUCCGCGCAUCUGCUAGGAUGCUGGCGUAAUGGCUGUAAGCGGCCCGUCUUGAAACACGGACCAAGGAGUCUAACAUCUAUGCGAGUGUUUGGGUGUCAAGCCCGAGCGCGUAAUGAAAGUGAACGGAGGUGGGAACCCCUCGGGGUGCACCAUCGACCGAUCCUGAUGUCUUCGGAUGGAUUUGAGUAAGAGCAUAGCUGUUGGGACCCGAAAGAUGGUGAACUAUGCUUGAAUAGGGUGAAGCCAGAGGAAACUCUGGUGGAGGCUCGCAGCGGUUCUGACGUGCAAAUCGAUCGUCAAAUUUGGGCAUAGGGGCGAAAGACU
rnacentral:rRNA from 1 species